rnacentral:rRNA from 1 species
GAUGAACGCUGGCGGCGUGCCUAAUACAUGCGAGUCGGGCGAACAGACGAGGAGCUUGCUCCUCUGACGUUAGCGGCGGACGGGUGAGUAACACGUGGAUAACCUACCUAUAAGACUGGGAUAACUUCGGGAAACCGGAGCUAAUACCGGAUAAUAUAUUGAACCGCAUGGUUCAAUAGUGAAAGACGGUUUUGCUGUCACUUAUAGAUGGAUCCGCGCCGCAUUAGCUAGUUGGUAAGGUAACGGCUUACCAAGGCAACGAUGCGUAGCCGACCUGAGAGGGUGAUCGGCCACACUGGAACUGAGACACGGUCCAGACUCCUACGGGAGGCAGCAGUAGGGAAUCUUCCGCAAUGGGCGAAAGCCUGACGGAGCAACGCCGCGUGGGUGAUGAAGGUCUUCGGAUCGUAAAACUCUGUUAUUAGGGAAGAACAAAUGUGUAAGUAACUAUGCACGUCUUGACGGUACCUAAUCAGAAAGCCACGGCUAACUACGUG